CGGGGCGUAGCGCAGUUUGGUAGCGUACGUGGUUUGGGACCAUGGGGUCGGGGGUUCGAAUCCCUCCGCCCCGA
rnacentral:tRNA from 3 species